AUGGCAGUAGCUCAGUAGUAGAGCCCCCGUUUCGCAUGCGGGGAGACCCGGGUUCGAUUCCCGGCUGCCUCC
rfam:Toxocara canis scaffold1285, whole genome shotgun sequence.